rnacentral:rRNA from 1 species
UACGGAGGGGGCUAGCGUUAUUCGGAAUUACUGGGCGUAAAGGGCGCGUAGGCGGCCUGCUAAGUCGAACGUGAAAUCCCCGAGCUCAACUCGGGAACUGCGUCCGAUACUGGCAGGCUUGAAUCCGGGAGAGGGAUGCGGAAUUCCAGGUGUAGCGGUGAAAUGCGUAGAUAUCUGGAGGAACACCGGUGGCGAAGGCGGCAUCCUGGACCGGCAUUGACGCUGAGGCGCGAAAGCCAGGGGAGCAAACGGG